AUCCUACGGGAGGCAGUAGUGGGGAAUCUUGCGCAAUGGGCGAAAAGCCUGACGCAGCGACGCCGCGUGAGGGAUGACGGCCUUCGGGUUGUAAACCUCUUUCAGCUCCGACGAAGCGAGAGUGACGGUAGGAGCAGAAGAAGCACCGGCCAACUACGUGCCAGCAGCCGCGGUAAUACGUAGGGUGCAAGCGUUGUCCGGAGAUUAUUGGGCGUAAAGAGCUCGUAGGCGGUCUGUCGCGUCGGCUGUGAAAACUCGGGGCUCAACCCCGAGCUUGCAGUCGAUACGGGCAGGCUAGAGUUCGGCAGGGGAGACUGGAAUUCCUGGUGUAGCGGUGAAAUGCGCAGAUAUCAGGAGGAACACCGGUGGCGAAGGCGGGUCUCUGGGCCGAUACUGACGCUGAGGAGCGAAAGCGUGGGGAGCGAACAGGAUUAGAGACCCUGGUAGUCCACGCCGUAAACGUUGGGCGCUAGGUGUGGGAGCCCUUCCACGGGUUCCGUGCCGCAGCUAACGCAUUAAGCGCCCCGCCUGGGAG
rnacentral:rRNA from 1 species